rnacentral:snRNA from 1 species
NUCUCUAAGGAGACCAAUCGUGAUUAUUCUUAUUUUUGUCCUUGGGGCGGUUUCCUCUGUGCUUGCACACGAUUCCGCCCACAGUGUCCCUGGUAUUACACUGCCUCCAGGCGACGCGAACACUU